CAAAGUUAGAGCACCAGGCGAAGCGAUUGGGGCAGAGGUCGGCUGUCUGCAGCAGCAACUGCCCAAAAGUUAGAGAUUUUUUAUAAAGUGAAGUUGAAUUUUGGAGAUACACCUUUUUCCAACACAAGAUUGCACAUUAAUCUAAAAGUGAAAGAUCGAGUCGGGAAUUGAGUGUCUUUUAGGAUUAAGAUAAGCACAUAACUGAUGAAGCUCAUGAAUCAUUUCUGUGACCCUCAGUUAGUUGAUUUGAACUCAAACAAUUGUUUUAGUGAAUUAGUUGAACCAUGUCUCUAGAAAAUGAGUUGAUAAGUUAGUAUCUUAUAUAAUUUUUUGUACCUUGCAAUUUAUAAGUGAAGUUCUUGCAUGAACAUGAGUGAAGAGGGAAAAUUAUAUAUAAUUACAUCGCAAGCAAUCUAUUUGAAAAUAAUAAACAAUCAUAUGGCUUGAAGAGACUUAGGCUCUAAGCUUUCAGGUGUAUUGACGAUCAAUCCAGCUGAAUUUGGUAUAUUGAUGGAUAAAAUAAGGAAAUUUUGGUAAUCAGAGGAGGUUCGAUCGAGCAUGGGCCUUAACAUGUCGGAAGAGGGGAUGGGAAGGAACACCGGGAGCAUGGUUUCGUUCAUAUUUUUGUAGCUUUUGGUGGUGCUUCUAUAGCUAAAGGGGAACUGAAUAAAAAAAGUGAUGAAGUAAGCUUCGGAGAUGACGAAGUUGAGCGGCGUUGGGAAGCGACUCGCUGCAAAAGAAGUCGAUGAUGAAGGCGACGCCAAUGAUGAUGGAUAGAGAGGGGUGGUGGUGGAGGAUGAAUUUGCCGAGCUCCACCAUGGACACCAGGUGGCCUAUUCUUGGAGAUGGGUAGAGGGCUAUCAUGCUCUACUUCACUUAAUUCAUCUCAUCCAUGCUGCUUAUAUAUCAUCUAGCUGCUAAUCAGGAUUGUUGUUGGUCAAUGUUUAAAGAUAAUAAUGACCACAAUUUCACCUACCA